rnacentral:tRNA from 1 species
GCGGCGAUGGUGGAACGGUAGACACGCUACCUUGAGGUGGUAGUGGCCAAAAGCUGUGGGAGUUCGAGUCUCCCUCGCCGCA